rnacentral:lncRNA from 1 species
CUUAUAUUUUUUGAGGGAAAUUGCUGGAGAUAAAAUGAGACGAUACAGAAUUAAAAAAGUCAUUAAAAUAAGACUGUGCAAUAUAUUAUUUGUUAGAUAGAUUCUAAUUAGCUAGUUGAUCAGUUUGCAUAGUAUUUUUAAAGAAGCGAGAAUUCCAUAUAAAAGAGAAGGCUUGACAUUUGUCAACGAAGGAUUGAAGCAUUUUGAACUUCGUUCUAGCAGCUCGAGUGAUCGAUUCGAACUGAUCAGACCUGAAUUGGAUCGCUUUAAUAAUCAAUGCUGAGUUGAAGAAUAUCCGAAUUUAUUUUUCUGAAUCAGUCAGACCUGAAGUGGGUCACUUUAUUAAUCAAUCGCUUUAAUAAUCAAUCACUUAUCUUUCCACUGGGAUUCAUAUUUGAAAGUUUCUGGGCCUAGAUUAGGCCCACGCAAAUAAUCCAAAAAUGCGACAUGUCUAAUAGAAGUCCAUAUUUGCAUGUCUUUCUCAUAAAAGUUUUUAAUCCCUUUCUAAUCCGUAGCAUUAACUAAUUUUAAAAAACACACAAAAAAUGAAAAAAAAUGUUCGAAUUAAAGACCUAGUGGCAAAAUAAAAGAAAUGUAACGACCCAGAGAAAUGUAACGACCCAGCUUACUAGCAAUAAUAAUUCUUUGAGCUAAAACCACCGGCCCAAAAUGCAUAAGCUCAGUUAUUAUGUCUAGUAUGAUUAAGCUAUCUAAUCAUAAUUACCCGAUGUGGGAUUACUGGAAUAUCACAUACUCCUCGUUUAGGCCUAACGUCCUCGUCAGUUCUAAACACACACAGCCCAAGAUUACCCGGCGAUAUGAGACUUGUCUCAUUAGUCUUGUCAUUCCGACCCUAACUUAAUUUGUCAUUCAUCAAUCCUGGCUUAACAAAGACUCAUCUCACACUUUCGGCUGGUGAACUGGCUCUGAUACCAAAUUAACAAUCUGACCUGCUAACAAUAAUAGCUCGUUAGGCCCAAAUCAAUAGCCCAAAAUGCUAAAGCCUAAUUAUUACGUCUAGCCUAAUCAAACUUAUGUAUCUCCAUAUCUAACAAUAACUACCCAAUGUAGGAUUAUUGGGGUAUCACAACUUCACAAGAAGGGCAUUUGGGCUA